rnacentral:rRNA from 1 species
ACGCUCGACACCUACAGGAGGCAGCAGUGAGGAAUAUUGGUCAAUGGACGCAAGUCUGAACCAGCCAUGCCGCGUGCAGGAUGACGGCUCUAUGAGUUGUAAACUGCUUUUGUACGAGGGUAAACGCAGAUACGUGUAUCUGUCUGAAAGUAUCGUACGAAUAAGGAUCGGCUAACUCCGUGCUAGCAGCCGCGGUAAUCUGAGCGGGCUGGCAAGGC